UUGGGAGCUCACUGGCUUCGAAGUUAUGGGAAUUCCGAAGUUAAGCGAGUUUGGGCUAGAGCAAUCCCAAGAUGGGUGACCCACUAGGAAGUUGCUUGUGAAUUCCCAGA
rnacentral:rRNA from 1 species